CUUUCAUAUUAUUUACUACUACUACAUGAGAACAUAAAAGUGGCUUAACAAACAUGAAAUUUUUAUAUGUCGAUGUGCUUUCAUAAAGUUGUAUAAAUAAAAUCUUAUUUCAAAACCAGUAAGAAAAGUUACUGUCAUUUACUUAAAACACACACUACAGGCAAACAAAAAUCUUUUGUAGUGUCAGUUGCCCUUUGGAUAUACUGUAUGCUCUGGAUGUUUAUGUGGUUUGAACAGACUUUUCCUAAGUGAGCGUGGCCAUCGUACAGCAAGCUGCAUAAAUUCAGUAAUAAGAAAUUUUCAGUACUUUUUUUCCUGCAGGAAAUAAAAGCAGUCUGAGGGCAAUCUAGUAUUCAUUUUAUUAUGUACAACACUUGAAAGCCUGCUUAUGCGAAGACUUUUUAAUAUAGCCAUAAAAAUUAUCAAUUUCUAGAUUAAGAAAAAGGAAAGCACACCAAAUCUUUUGUACCUACUUUUGCCCUGUAAUUAUCUUUGACUAUUUUUAUCCUCCAAAGAAGUCUCUAGAGCAGCUUCUAAUAGAAACCAAGUGGUUUCUAAUAGAAACCACGAACAAAAAUGUUCAAGUUUGGUGUAAGUUUUGGGAACUAAAGCAGAACUUAUCCAGUUCUAUUCUUAUUUCAUUUUUCUCUACAUAGGAUAUGCAAAUACCUAAUUCCAUUUAACCAUCACUGAUCCAGGCAUUGGGCAACUAACGUUAAAUAUCAGAAGAAAGAUUCUUUAAAAAAAAAAAAAAGUCAAGUCAGAGACCAUAAAAAGAAAUCUCUAGGAAAGGUACAGAAUUUUCAGACCAUAAGGUCUGAAACUAGGCACUCGUCUCCCAACUGGAAAGAAGUGAGGAUAGAAGCAGACCAGAUCAUUCACGUGGUGAGUAGCUGGGAUAGGACUAAAACUCCAGGGUCUGAGCUUCCACGACGGCAUCUCUACACCUGACCCCAUAAAGGGAAGCCAACUCCAGAGUGGCCUCCAGGGGCGACGAGCGAAACAGCUCCACCCGCCCGCCAGUUCCACACUCCCGAGGCAGAGGCGGCGCUGCGGGAACAAAAGCGCGGCGGGAGGAUACCCGAGUUUGAGACACUGCUGGACAGUGCUCUGCGUCGCCGGCUCGCGACAAGUGGCGCCCGAACAGGGACCUGGAAUUGAAGCAGCGAUCGGUGAGCAAUCCGUGAAGCCUGCUGUCAAAAAGGGUUCGGCCGAACCGAAACAAGGAGGACACCGCUGUCUGGAACGCCACUCACGGUGGGUUGUUUUGGUGAACCUGUUUGCUCUUUUCCUGUGUGACCUUUCAGUUACUAUGGUAAACCCAUCCCAUAAUAGUUUGUGGUUUUUUGCUUUAAAAGGCCGGUGCUUGCCGGCAAUAAACGCCGCCUUGAUCAGACUCUUGUCUUGGCGUCCUUCCUUUCUCUCUGCCCCAUCUCCACCCCGCUGCUCUUUCAGGUUUGAGACACUGCUGGACAGUGCUCUGCGUCGCCGGCUCGCGACAUAGAAAGAUAAAUUUUUUAUUGAAAUUGGCUCUAGCUCUGUUUCCCAGGCUGAUUUUGGACCGGUGGCAGUCCUGCCUCAGCCUCCAGAAUACCUAGGAAGGCACAUGCCACAUGCCUGACUCAUGGUUAUAAAUUUGGAACCAACUGCCUGUCAUUAAGAGCUAUUACAUAAACUACAUGUAUACUAUGAACUCCUUGGCCACCAUUAGAAAUAAGGCAGAUCUGUAUGUACUGAUACGAAAAGCUUUAUAAGCGAUAUUGUUUUAAAAAUCAAAUGGCAGAACACUACAUAUACUUUGAUCUUCUUUAUUUAAAAAGUGGAGUCAAGUGUAUUUAUACACCAAGAACUGUUAGUAGUGAUUACCUCUGCAUAGGAAAAAAGGAGUAUAAGACAGGGGAAGAAUUACCAUGUUUUACUUUAUAUAUUUAUGUAUUUCUUGAAAUUUGGCAUUCAUCUGUUACUUAUGUUUAUGAGUUUUAAAAACUUAAUUGUAGGAAAAUCACA
ensembl:lincRNA